AGAGUUUGAUCAUGGCUCAGAUUGAACGCUGGCGGCAGGCUUAACACAUGCAAGUCGAGCGGGGAGAUGUAGCUUGCUACAUUUCCUAGCGGCGGACGGGUGAGUAAUGCUUAGGAAUCUGCCUAUUAGUGGGGGACAACAUUCCGAAAGGAAUGCUAAUACCGCAUACGCCCUACGGGGGAAAGCAGGGGAUCUUCGGACCUUGCGCUAAUAGAUGAGCCUAAGUCAGAUUAGCUAGUUGGUGGGGUAAAGGCCUACCAAGGCGACGAUCUGUAGCGGGUCUGAGAGGAUGAUCCGCCACACUGGGACUGAGACACGGCCCAGACUCCUACGGGAGGCAGCCGUGGGGAAUAUUGGACAAUGGGCGAAAGCCUGAUCCAGCCAUGCCGCGUGUGUGAAGAAGGCCUUUUGGUUGUAAAGCACUUUAAGCGAGGAGGAGGCUACUUAGAUUAAUACUCUAGGAUAGUGGACGUUACUCGCAGAAUAAGCACCGGCUAACUCUGUGCCAGCAGCCGCGGUAAUACAGAGGGUGCGAGCGUUAAUCGGAUUUACUGGGCGUAAAGCGUGCGUAGGCGGCUUUUUAAGUCGGAUGUGAAAUCCCUGAGCUUAACUUAGGAAUUGCAUUCGAUACUGGGAAGCUAGAGUAUGGGAGA
rnacentral:rRNA from 1 species